rnacentral:lncRNA from 1 species
AUUUGAUAUAACUAACUUUCCAAAGAGCUAGAAGUUUCUACUUCACACAGCUCUAAAUGUUAUGUCUGCCUCCCAAGCCUCAGUUCUUAGGGAACCUCAUGAAAGAGAAAGGGGAAAGAAUAUAAGAGUCAGAAGGGACAGAGGACACCUGGAUCAAGAGGCCCUCUUAUAUCAACUGAGCAAAGGUUCUAUGAACUCACAGAGACUGAAGCAUCAAACACAGAACAUAGCUAUGUCUGCACCAGCCUAAAUGAAGAUGAAAAUUGAUAGGAAUUCCUCAGACGACAUCUCCCAUUACAUCUAGUUGGCAGUCUACGAAGGAGAAGUGUAGUGGGAACGGUUUUCCCAGAUCAAGUGGCAGAAGCCUGAAAUGACUUACAGAAGCCUGUAACUCUGGAGAGAGCAUCUGAUCACAAUCCAAGGACUUACCCAGCCUGUAAAAUGAGUUCAUGGCUAAUGUGGUAACCUUGUGAGACCUUGUCCUUAAUUAAAAAUGUGAAAAACGA